UCUCAUAUCCUUAAAUUAACAACUCUAAAUCUAUGAAAAAGAAGUGGACCUCGCCUCAAUACUAGAAAGAAUCCUCCUGGAUCUGAAAUAUCAAUUCGCACUAUCAAGUUUUCUAAGGACUGGAUAUACUAUACCAAUGGCCUUUGAGAAAUUGAGAUAGAAGCUAAGCUACCCAUACUCACUGCCUUCCAUCUUAAGGCGUCUAAUAUAACAUUUGCCUUACCCAGAUAAUACAAAAUAAAGAUCUCAUUAUCCUUAAACAGCUCUAUCCAUCUACGUUUUCUUAAAACAAAAGAAA
rnacentral:lncRNA from 1 species